rnacentral:lncRNA from 1 species
CCAAACCUAAUGAGAAAGGAGAAAUAUAUUGAAACAAGAAAUCAAACAGAAUUUGAAGUUGAACGUUGUGUUUCACAAAACUAAAACAAGAUUGUAAUUUUUUUUUGGUAACAUCCAUUUUUCCGCACCAAUGUACACUACAUAGUGUUUUGAUACAAAAUAGAAUAACUAUAUUAAUCGGGUGAUGGCAUUUGUUGUUUGGUUUUUUUAAAAUUUAUUUUUAAUAACCAAAAUAGUGUUUUGAUAUAGAGUAAAAAAAUGAUGAUAUUAUAAUUUUUAAAUCUGUUUUGUUUUGUUUUUGUUUUUUUUUUUCUUUUCAGAAUCUUUAGAUUAGAUCUAAGGGUGGUUGACCACAAUUUUCUUGAACCAUAGGGUCCAGGAGAACAGGACUCAUAUUAAACAUUAUUCCAUCAAAUAACUUAAAAUGUUCAUAUCUUUCUUAAUUACAAUUACCUGUAUGAGCAAAAUAAAUAUGGAACUAACUAGGUUGGAUUGGAAUCUCACAAGCA